rnacentral:rRNA from 1 species
GGCCCUACGGGAGGCAGCAGUGGGGGAUAUUGCACAAUGGGGGAAACCCUGAUGCAGCGACGCCGCGUGAGCGAUGAAGUAUUUCGGUAUGUAAAGCUCUAUCAGCAGGGAAGAAAAUGACGGUACCUGACUAAGAAGCCCCGGCUAACUACGUGCCAGCAGCCGCGGUAAUACGUAGGGGGCAAGCGUUAUCCGGAUUUACUGGGUGUAAAGGGGGCGCAGACGGCGAUGCAAGCCAGGAGUGAAAGCCCGGGGCCCAACCCCGGG